rnacentral:rRNA from 1 species
AUGAACGCUGGCGGCGUGCCUAAUACAUGCAAGUCGAGCGAACAGACGAGGAGCUUGCUCCUCUGACGUUAGCGGCGGACGGGUGAGUAACACGUGGAUAACCUACCUAUAAGACUGGGAUAACUUCGGGAAACCGGAGCUAAUACCGGAUAAUAUAUUGAACCGCAUGGUUCAAUAGUUAAAGACGGUUUUGCUGUCACUUAUAGAUGGAUCCGCGCCGCAUUAGCUAGUUGGUAAGGUAACGGCUUACCAAGGCAACGAUGCGUAGCCGACCUGAGAGGGUGAUCGGACACAAUGAAACUGAGACACGGACCAGACUCCUAGGGGAGGCAGCAGUAGGAAAUCUUCCGCAAGGGGCGAAAGCCUGACGGAGCAACGCCGCGUGAGUGAUGAAGGUCUUCGGAUCGUAAAACUCUGUUAUUAGGGAAGAACAAAUGUGUAAGUAACUAUGCACGUCUUGACGGUACCUAAUCAGAAAGCCACGGCUAACUACG